rnacentral:rRNA from 1 species
UACAGAGGGUGCGAGCGUUAAUCGGAAUUACUGGGCGUAAAGCGUGCGUAGACGGUAGCGUAAGUCAGAUGUGAAAGCCCCGGGCUCAACCUGGGAAUUGCAUUUGAGACUGCUCUGCUCGGGUGCGGAAGAGGGAAGCGGAAUUUCCGGUGUAGCGGUGAAAUGCGUAGAUAUCGGAAGGAGCACCAGUGGCGAAAGCGGCUUCCUGGUCCGACACCGACGUUCAGGCACGAAAGCGUGGGGAGCAAACAGG